rnacentral:rRNA from 1 species
UAUAAUGGGUCAGCGACUUAUAUUCUGUAGCAAGGUUAACCGUAUAGGGGAGCCGAAGGGAAACCGAGUCUUAACUGGGCGUUAAGUUGCAGGGUAUAGACCCGAAACCCGGUGAUCUAGCCAUGGGCAGGUUGAAGGUUGGGUAACACUAACUGGAGGACCGAACCGACUAAUGUUGAAAAAUUAGCGGAUGACCUGUGGCUGGGGGUGAAAGGCCAAUCAAACCGGGAGAUAGCUGGUUCUCCCCGAAAGCUAUUUAGGUAGCGCCUCGUGAACUCAUCUUCGGGGGUAGAGCACUGUUUCGGCUAGGGGGCCAUCCCGGCUUACCAACCCGAUGCAAACUACGAAUACCGAAGAAUGUUAUCACGGGAGACACACGGCGGGUGCUAACGUCCGUCGUGAAGAGGGAAACAACCCAGACCGCCAGCUAAGGUCCCAAAGUCAUGGUUAAGUGGGAAACGAUGUGGGAAGGCCCAGACAGCCAGGAUGUUGGCUUAGAAGCAGCCAUCAUUUAAAGAAAGCGUAAUAGCUCACUGGUCGAGUCGGCCUGCGCGGAAGAUGUAACGGGGCUAAACCAUGCAC